rnacentral:rRNA from 1 species
UAGGGAAUCUUCCGCAAUGGACGCAAGUCUGACGGAGCAACGCCGCGUGAGUGAAGAAGGAUUUCGGUUCGUAAAACUCUGUUGUUAGAGAAGAACAGCGCAUAGAGUAACUGUUAUGCGUGUGACGGUAUCUAACCAGAAAGCCACGGCUAACUACGUGCCAGCAGCCGCGGUAAUACGUAGGUGGCAAGCGGUGUCCGGAUUUAUUGGGCGUAAAGCGAGCGCAGGCGUUCGAUUAAGUCUGAUGUGAAAGCCCCCGGCUCAACCGGGGAGGGUCAUUGGAGACUGGUUGACUGGAGUGCAGAAGAGGAGGGUGGAAUUCCAUGUGUAGCGGUGAAAUGCGUAGAUAUAUGGAGGGACACCAGUGGCGAAGGCGACUCUCUGGUCUGUAACUGACGCUGAGGCUCGAAAGCGUGGGUAGCAAACAGG